UACGUAGGGUGCAAGCGUUGUCCGGAAUUAUUGGGCGUAAAGAGCUCGUAGGCGGUUUGUCGCGUCUGCUGUGAAAACUCGGGGCGUUAACCCCGGGCCUCGCAGUGGGUACGGGCAGACUAGAGUGCGGUAGGGGGAGACUGGAAUUCCUGGUGUAGCGGUGAAAUGCGCAGAUAUCAGGAGGAACACCGGUGGCGAAGGCGGGUCUCUGGGCCGUAACUGACGCUGAGGAGCGAAAGCGUGGGGGAGCAAACAGG
rnacentral:rRNA from 1 species